UAUUAUUCUUAGAUAAAUAUGUCCUUAAGUUAGUAAUAGAUAUUUACUUAAAAAUUAAAAGAUUUGGCGGUAAUUUAAUCUUUUCAGAGGAACUUGUUUUUUAAUCGAUAAUCCGCGAAGUAUCUUGCUUAUUUUAAUAAAGUUUGUAUACCAUCAUUAUCAGGUAAUUUCAGAAGAAUAAAUUACUAAGAGUAAAGAAUUAAUAAAAUUAGAUCAUGGUGCAGCUUAUAGGUAAGUUAAAAUGAGUUACAAUAAAAUUUUUUAAUACGGAUAAAUGAAAGAAUUUUUAUUUAGAAGGUGGAUUUGAUUGUAUUCAAGAUUUAAUAUGUCUUGGGGAUGGUAGCUCUAAAUUAAGUACAUAU
rnacentral:rRNA from 1 species